rnacentral:rRNA from 1 species
GACGAACGCUGGCGGCGUGCCUAACACAUGCAAGUCGAGCGAGUGAAUCUCCUUCGGGAGUGAAGCUAGCGGCGGACGGGUGAGUAACACGUGGGCAACCUGCCUCAUAGAGGGGAAUAGCCUUUCGAAAGGAAGAUUAAUACCGCAUAAGAUUGUAGCUUCGCAUGAAGUAGCAAUUAAAGGAGCAAUCCGCUAUGAGAUGGGCCCGCGGCGCAUUAGCUAGUUGGUGAGGUAACGGCUCACCAAGGCGACGAUGCGUAGCCGACCUGGGAGGGUGAUCGGCCACAUUGGGACUGAGACACGGACCAGACUCCUACGGGAGGCAGCAGUGGGGAAUAUUGCACAAUGGGGGAAACCCUGAUGCAGCAACGCCGCGUGAGUGAUGACGGCCUUCGGGUUGUAAAGCUCUGUCUUCAGGGACGAUAAUGACGGUACCUGAGGAGGAAGCCACGGCUAACUUCGUGCCAGCCGCCGCCGUAAUAC